UUGGAAACCAAGUCGGUUACAACUCUUGUCACAUGAGCACCUUCUGUUGGUCCUACUGUUUUAAAUGCUGGCAGCAGUGGGCCUUCUUUGUUGCAUUAUCCUUUCUCAACAUUCUUGAAUGAUGACGUGCUGAACACUUUGAGGAGUGAAUCCUACAUCCCUAGAAAUCUCUUUUUCAAGCUAAGAGACAUCCCUCCAACGGUUCUCCUUCAAAAUAUCUACGAUGACAGUCUUCUAGUGAGCAUUUUUUGUUACUCCCUUGUUUUUUUUAAAGAUCUCUCACCCAUUACUGACCAUCGCUCCUUUACUUUACAUAAGCAAGGCUUCUAUCAGCCGGUGUUCUUGACCAGACUAGAUCUUUUGAGGCAAAGCAUAGAGUUUCCCGUGAAGUUCAAAAGAAACUCUCCGAAGACCUUCGCAUCGCUAAAUUGGCUAAGGAGGAAGUUGUUUCUGUGAAGAGAGAGUUUUCUAAGGCUCAAGGGCGACUAUCUAAUUUGAUAGUUUCCGCAACGAGAGGAAUUUGCUGAAAAAUAAGCCUGUGGAUGCAGAACAAAAGCUAGUCAGUGUCCAUUCCCUCGAAAAAGAACGGGAUUAGCUAAAAGAAGAAAUCACUGCUAUGAAGCUAGAAAUUUCUUCUCUAAAUCACCAACUUUUGGAACGAGUAUGAGUUAGUCAAAAGCAAGACAAUUGCUAUCUUUGAAUACACUUCUCAUUAGGAGCCUAGAGGAUAGUGUGGCUACGUUAACAUUCAAACUUCAGAGCGUAGAUAAGAAUUGGAAGGAGAAAUACUCCACCGGGGCCGCAGAGUUAACAUCUCCAAGGAAAGCUACUCUUGAAGCCAAUAGGAAAUACUUGGUGCUUGAAGAUGAGGUAUCUCAAUUAAGAGUGGAAUUAAGCACAACACAAAGUUUGUCAUUUGCUUCAUCUAACGAAAGGCUUUCAUUAUUGAAGGAGUUGGAAGAGGCUCAUAUCCAAGCCACAAGGGAGUGUAUCAACGAUCUCCCCAAAACAGAGAAGAAGAUGAACAUGAUGGUUGACCUUGAAAUUGCCUCCUAUCUGGACACAUGGCUCAGGAUAAUGACCUUCCUACUAAGGAGAAGAUUAAAGUUGUUCAAAGGGUCUGUACGCUGUUCGACAUUGAAUAUGGGCAUUAGAAUUUCAAAGAGUUUGUUGUUGCACUCGGCGAUAUCAACAUCACUUACCCUGUCAACAAUCUGGAAGAAUUGAAAUGUAGGCAAGAUGCCUUGGGGUUUAUAUAUUUGGCCAAUGGAAAACCUGUGAAGGACCCUUCGUCAACAAGUGAGGCUUGCUCUACCACUACUCAUGCUGCUCUAGAACCCAACGCUCUAGAAUCGUCAGCCCAGGGAUCCUCUGCUAAAAGGAACGAUGCAGUUACUCUGCCUGCUGAUUAUUCAACUAUCCCCCUUCCUCAUAGUGUACAUUUUCUAGCUCAUAAUGGUAGCUUAGGCCCUUAAUCUUUUAAUAGUUUAGUACUCCAUUUUUGUACAUGUAAAUAAUCAACUUUUUGUGGCUAAUUUUUAUUUGCUUUUUGUGUAUUUAGGAGUAAAUUAACAUUCCAUCUUU